rnacentral:rRNA from 1 species
AUUGAACGCUGGCGGCAUGCUUUACACAUGCAAGUCGAACGGCAGCGCGGGCUUCGGCCUGGCGGCGAGUGGCGAACGGGUGAGUAAUUCAUCGGAACGUGCCCAGUAGUGGGGGAUAGCCCGGCGAAAGCCGGAUUAAUACCGCAUACGACCUGAGGGUGAAAGCGGGGGACCGAAAGGCCUCGCGCUAUUGGAGCGGCCGAUGUCGGAUUAGCUAGUUGGUGGGGUAAAGGCUUACCAAGGCGACGAUCCGUAGCUGGUCUGAGAGGACGACCAGCCACACUGGGACUGAGACACGGCCCAGACUCCUACGGGAGGCAGCAGUGGGGAAUUUUGGACAAUGGGGGCAACCCUGACCCAGCCAUGCCGCGUGCGGGAAGAGGGCCUUCGGGUUGUAAACCGCUUUUGUUCGGGAAGAAAUCCUCUGGGCUAAUACCCCGGGGGGAUGACGGUACCGGAAGAAUAAGCACCGGCUAACUACGUG